AUUGAACGCUGGCGGCAGGCUUAACACAUGCAAGUCGAGCGGAGAUGAGGUGCUUGCACCUUAUCUUAGCGGCGGACGGGUGAGUAAUGCUUAGGAAUCUGCCUAUUAGUGGGGGACAACAUUCCGAAAGGAAUGCUAAUACCGCAUACGUCCUACGGGAGAAAGCAGGGGAUCUUCGGACCUUGCGCUAAUAGAUGAGCCUAAGUCGGAUUAGCUAGUUGGUGGGGUAAAGGCCUACCAAGGCGACGAUCUGUAGCGGGUCUGAGAGGAUGGUCCGCCACACUGGGACUGAGAGACGGCCCAGACUCCUACGGGAGGCAGCAGUGGGGAAUAUUGGACAAUGGGGGGAACCCUGAUCCAGCCAUGCCGCGUGUGUGAAGAAGGCCUUAUGGUUGUAAAGCACUUUAAGCGAGGAGGAGGCUACUGAGACUAAUACUCUUGGAUAGUGGACGUUACUCGCAGAAUAAGCACCGGCUAACUCUGUGCCAGCCGCCGCGGUAAGAC
rnacentral:rRNA from 1 species